rnacentral:lncRNA from 1 species
ACCGUCACGGUGACUUGCAAGUAACUCACUGCACUUAGGUACUGGACUACCUGAAUUUCUAAUUCAGUGAUGGAAGGCUGCUGGGUGUAGUCAAGUACUUGACUUGUCGGUGCGUGUGUCAAGAUGGGAUUGACCACUCCAGUUUAGGAGCUGUGUACAGUCAUGUUUCAAUUUAGCAAUACCUUGAUCAGGAUAGUCCUAGUGAGGAGUCACAG